rnacentral:lncRNA from 1 species
AUCUAUCAAUAAUCAUGGUUAGUCUCUCAUUGAUUUUUUGCAUGAUUUUACAAUAUUUGUUGGUCAAACAUGUCAACCAAAAACAACGAUGAUUAAUUUGCAAACCAACGAAGAGCUUGCUGGAUUUUUUGGCGGUAAGCUCUUUUAAAAAUAGUUUCAUACUACGCUUAUAAUUUCUAGAUAUUAGCAUGACACGACUACAAUAACCAAGGAUAAAAAUACAACAACAAUAUUUGACAUAAUAAUAACAACUAUAAUUUAUCCAUAACAGAGUAUGUUGGUGCCUUGCACGAG